rnacentral:rRNA from 1 species
UACCAGCCCCCUGAGUGGUAGGGACGAUUAUUUGGCCUAAAGCGUCCGUAGCCUGCUUGGUAAGUCUUUCGUCAAAUCUGACGAUUCAAUCGUUAGUUCGCGGAAGAUACUGCCAGGCUUGAGGACGGGAGAGGUCGACGGUAGUCCCAGGGUAGGGGUGAAAUCCUAUAAUCCUGGGAGGACCACCAGUGGCGAAGGCGGUCGACUAGAACGUGCCUGACGGUGAUGGACGAAAGCUGGGGGAG